AAAAAAACCACAUCUGACCAAAAGCACAUUAGAAACCUAAUAAAAAAACCACAUCUGACCAAAAGCGUCGUUCCCCCCUCACCCAUCUUCUUUUUCCUCACUUCUAACCUAAAAACACAAAAAAAAUCAAGACCCUCAUCUCUAUCCUGGCAACGGCACAGACCCCCCACCUCUUCUUUUCCAUUCCCUCGUUACCCUCACUCAACACUCAAUCACACACACAUACACGCCUGGACUACUGAGAGAAGAAGUUUGCACUUCAAAAUUUAAGAUCUAGAAAACUAAAAAAAAAUCGAAAAAAGGGAUUAAAAGGUUGUUUGAAUUUUGCUUCAUGGCUUUAUCGUUUCUGACUUUACAAGACUUUUUUCUAGUUAUAUGUUUGCUGGUUUGUUGCUGCUUCCGCUGGUGGAUCUCACUCUUUAUUCCAGACCUUGCUUGGUCAUUUAGUGUUAUUUUUACAGCUUCUAGAUUCGAUGUGAAAGGAGGCCGAUUCGAGGGGCAAAGGCAUCGCGAGUUAGAGAUUUGACCUGUUCGAGAUUCAGGCGUUGUGGAUCCUGCAAGUGUAAGUUGAGAGCUCCUAGCACAUAUUAGAGACCACGAGGUAGUUGUUUGAUGUCCGUAGUCAUGUGUUUCUCCCUCUUUAUCAUUUCUAUCUUGUAUCAGACAUUUGUAAUAGUUAUAGACUUUUCAGACUUGUAUUAUGUUUUAUA